AGACGUCUACAUUAGGAUACCCGCGUAGUCCCAGCCGUAAACUAUGCGCGUUAGGUGUAUCGGUGACCACGAGUCACCGAGGUGCCGAAGGGAAACCGUGAAACGUGCCGCCUGGGAAGUACGGUCGCAAGGCUGAAACUUAAAGGAAUUGGCGGGGAGCACCACAACGGGUGGAGCCUGCGGUUUAAUUGGACUCAACGCCGGGAAGCUCACCGGAUAAGACAGCGGAAUGAUUGCCGGGCUGAAGACUCUGCAUGACUAGCUG
rnacentral:rRNA from 1 species